rnacentral:misc_RNA from 1 species
AACCAAAGCAACGGAAAGCAAGAGAUGUGAAAUAAGAAGAGAUGGCCCUCCUGAGCAAAGAAGGCCAAGACAAGAAGCAACUCAGUCCGAAUCAGCAUCUGCAUAAGACACCCAGAAAAUGCACUAUAUUCAUCUUUCUCUAACAAUUUUAAUUUUGAUUUCGAUAUGCAUAUCAUCUCCUCUUUGACAGUUCAAUAAUGUCUCAACUCUAAAGAUGGAUCCGUUGAGCUGCUAUGGAUAUCAGGUGU